rnacentral:lncRNA from 1 species
UUAUCCGAAAAUAACGCAUAAUGGAAGAGAUCAGGAUUUUCCCUAUUUUCACCUCUAGGGAACUUUCUUUUUUCAGGAGGAAGGAGGAAAUAGUCAAUGGUCAAACGCAUGGACAAGCAAUGGAUCCCAUUAGGUAUAGUCUUAGCCGCUAAUUGGUUUUCCCUAUUUUCGCCUCUAGGGAACUUUCUUUUUUCAGGAGGAAGGAGGAAAUAGUCAAUGGUCAAACGCAUGGACAAGCAGUGGAUCCCAUUAGGUAUAGUCUUUGCCGCUAAUUGGCUCAAAAAAGUGCUCUGCCUCUUCAAACCUCUGACUUGCUCAUCAGCAGAUUGCAGCAUUGCUCUCAGUUUUGUUGUCACAAGCUUGCAGUCAUAGAGCUGCUCUCUAGCUUUAGAUAAGACCUGACCCAUAGCUUUCAUUUUCUCAUGUGCA